rnacentral:rRNA from 1 species
GGGCUACACACGUGCUACAAUGGCGGUGACAGAGGGCAGCGAGCCUGCGAAGGCGAGCAAAUCCCGAAAAGCCGUCUCAGUUCGGAUUGUUCUCUGCAACUCGAGAGCAUGAAGGCGGAAUCGCUAGUAAUCGCGGAUCAGCAUGCCGCGGUGAAUACGUUCCCGGGCCUUGUACACACCGCCCGUCACACCAUGGGAGUUGGUUUUACCCGAAGACGGUGGGCUAACCUUGAACUUCGGUUUGGGGAGGCAGCCGGCCACGGUAGGGUCAGCGACUGGGGUGAAGUCGUAACAAGGUAGCA